GGGCGGGUAGCUCAGUGGUAGAGCAUCUGACUUUUAAUCAGAUGGUCGUGGGUUCGAUCCCCACCCCGCUCACCA
rnacentral:tRNA from 3 species